rnacentral:sRNA from 1 species
CUGGUUUUGAAUUUAGUUUGGAAAUCUGGGUCUGGUUUUUAGAUCACAUGUUUUCUUAUGUAUAAUAAGCUUUUGAAGUUUGUACUCAAGUUGGAUUUGCAUGAUGACAAGGAAAAGCAGAAGGCCUUCAAAACAGUUUCAACUCUUUCAGAAUGGUGCCUUUUGGUACCAAUUGGAAGUUACUCAUUAUUUUCCUGACAUCUUGUAUAUUGUGCAUGGGGAACAACUAUAUACAGGGUAU